ACGGGUGAGUAAUGUAUAGGAAUCUACCUAGUAGUACGGAAUAAUUGUUGGAAACGACAACUAAUACCGUAUACGCCCUACGGGGGAAAAAUUUAUUGCUAUUAGAUGAGCCUAUAUUAGAUUAGCUAGUUGGUGGGGUAAUAGCCUACCAAGGUAAUGAUCUAUAGCUGAUCUGAGAGGAUGAUCAGCCACACUGGAACUGAGAUACGGUCCAGACUCCUACGGGAGGCAGCAGUGGGGAAUAUUGGACAAUGGGCGAAAGCCUGAUCCAGCCAUGCCGCAUGAGUGAAGAAGGCCUUUGGGUUGUAAAGCUCUUUUAGUGAGGAAGAUAAUGACGGUACUCACAGAAGAAGUCCUGGCUAACUCCGUGCCAGCAGCCGCGGUAAUACGGAGAGGGCUAGCGUUAUUCGGAAUUAUUGGGCGUAAAGGGCGCGUAGGCUGGUUAAUAAGUUAAAAGUGAAAUCCCGAGGCUUAACCUUGGAAUUGCUUUUAAAACUAUUAAUCUAGAGAUUGAAAGAGGAUAGGGGAAUUCCUGAUGUAGAGGUAAAAUUCGUAAAUAUUAGGAGGAACACCAGUGGCGAAGGCGUCUAUCUGGUUCAAAUCUGACGCUGAAGCGCGAAGGCGUGGGGAGCAAACAGGAUUAGAUACCCUGGUAGUCCACGCUGUAAACGAUGAAUGUUAAAUAUGGGGAGUUUACUUUCUGUAUUACAGCUAACGCGUUAAACAUUCCGCCUGGGGACUACGGUCGCAAGAUUAAAACUCAAAGGAAUUGACGGGGACCCGCACAAGCGGUGGAGCAUGUGGUUUAAUUCGAUGCAACGCGAAAAACAAAGUCACUU
rnacentral:rRNA from 1 species